GUCUUCCUGAUAAAAUAGGAAGUCUGACCUGCCCAGUGAAAAUAUUUUAACGGCCGCGGUAUAUUGACCGUGCAAAGGUAGCAUAAUCAUUAGUCUUUUAAUAGAGGGCUGGAAUGAAGGGUUUAACGAAGUACUUACUGUCUCAUUUAAUUUGAUAUUAAAAUUUACUUUUUCAGUCAAAAAGCUGAAAUAUUAUUGGAAGACGAGAAGACCCUAUAGAGCUUUAUAUUUAAUUUUUUAAUAAAUUUUUGAUAUAAUUAUUAUUUAUUAUUUAAUAAAAUAUUUUGUUGGGGUGACAAAAAUAUAUAAUCAACUUUUUUAUUUAUAUAACAUUGAUAUAUGAAAAAUAGAUCCAGUUUUACUGAUUAUUAGAAUAAGUUACCUUAGGGAUAACAGCGUAAUCUUCCUUUAGAGUUCAUAUUCACAGGGAGGCUUGCGACCUCGAUGUUGGAUUAAGAUUAUAAUUAGGUGUAGCCGCUUAAAAAAUAGGUCUGUUCGACCUUUAAAUUCUU
rnacentral:rRNA from 1 species